AGGACGAACGCUUGCGACGUGCCUAAGAAAUGCAAGUCGAGCGAGGCAGCAAUGUCUAGCGGCGAACGGUCGCGUAACACGUAAGCAACCUGCCCCAAAGACCGGGACAACGUUCCGAAAGGAGCGCUAAUACCGGAUGUGCCCACUAUUUGACAUCAUUUGGUGAGUAAAUCGAGCAAUCGGCUUUGGGAGGGGCUUGCGGCCUAUCAGCUAGAUGGUGGGGUAACGGCCUACCAUGGCGACGACGGGUAGC
rnacentral:rRNA from 1 species